rnacentral:sRNA from 1 species
CAGGCCUCGAGUGAGGAGCAUCCAAAAUUUAAGUUUUUAUUUCCGGAAAACAAAAAUUCAGUAAUUCAGUGUACAAAAAAAAAAAUUGUUUCCUAGUUUAAAAUUUGUUUGUUACUUUUUGGACACACGAACUCAAAGAAUGACUCUUGGGAAGGGAAGGCGGCUCUUCAAAUAAAGAAAGGCGAUCGUGAUGGUACCGGGAUAUCCAAACAAAUACUCCCCCAGUUCGGAUUACCAGUGGCUUGCAUCAAUAUUAAUAAUCACUAUAUUAAGCACUAUAUUAAGCACAGAGAAAGGGAAGGAACGAAAUGGAAGGAUGGUGACCCUUCAGACGAGGGAAGGACAUCGUGAUGGUACCUGGAAUAUCCGAUCAGUUAUUCCCUCAGUUCGGAUAUACAGUGGCUCGCAUCAAUAUUAAUAAUCACUAUAUUAAGCACUAUAUUAAGCACAGAGAAAGAGAAGGAAGGAAAUGGAAGGAUGGUGACCCUUCAGACGAGGGAAGGACAUCGUGAUGGUGCCUGGAAUAUCCGAUCAGUUAUUCCCCCAGUUCGGAUUCCCAGUGGCUUGCAUCAAUACCAAAUAAACAUUAUGCAACGAGAUCAAGACCGAAUAAAUCACUAUAUUAAGCACUAUAUUAAGCACAGAGAAAGGGAAGGAAGGAAAUGGAAGGAUGGUGAUCCUUCAGACGAAGGAAGGACAUCGUGAUGGUACCUGGAAUAUCCGAUCAGUUAUUCCCUCAGUUCGGAUAUACAGUGGCUUCCAUCAAUGCCAAAUAAACAUUAUGCAACGAGAUCAAGACCGAAUAAAUCACUAUAUUAAGCACUAUAUUAAGCACAGAGAAAGGGAAGGAAGGAAAUGGAAGGAUGGUGAUCCUUCAGACGAAGGAAGGACAUCGUGAUGGUACCUGGAAUAUCCGAUCAGUUAUUCCCUCAGUUCGGAUAUACAGUGGCUCGCAUCAAUACCAAAUAAACAUUAUGCAACGAGAUCAAGACCGAAUAAAUCACUAUAUUAAGCACUAUAUUAAGCACAGAGAAAGGGAAGGAAGGAAAUGGAAGGAUGGUGAUCCUUCAGACGAAGGAAGGACAUCGUGAUGGUACCUGGAAUAUCCGAUCAGUUAUUCCCUCAGUUCGGAUAUAUAGUGGCUUCCAUCAAUACCACAUAAACAUUAUGCAACGAGAUCAAGACCGAAUAAUUCACUAUAUUAAGCACUAUAUUAAGCACAGAGAAAGACGAGGGAACGACAUCGUGAUGGUACCUGGAAUAUCCGAUCAGUUAUUCCCUCAGUUCGGAUAUACAGUGGCUUCCAUCAAUACCAAAUAAACAUUAUGCAACGAGAUCAAGACCGAAUAAAUCACUAUAUUAAGCACUAUAUUAAGCACAGAGAAAGGGAAGGAAGGAAAUGGAAGGAUGGUGAUCCUUCAGACGAGGGAAGGACAUCGUGAUGGUACCUGGAAUAUCCGAUCAGUUAUUCCCUCAGUUCGGAUAUACAGUGGCUCGCAUCAAUACCAAAUAAACAUUAUGCAACGAGAUCAAGACCGAAUAAAUCACUAUAUUAAGCACAGAGAAAGGGAAGGAAGGAAAUGGAAGGAUGGUGACCCUUCAGACGAAGGAAGGACAUCGUGAUGGUACCUGGAAUAUCCGAUCAGUUAUUCCCUCAGUUCGGAUAUACAGUGGCUUCCAUCAAUACCAAAUAAACAUUAUGCAACGAGAUCAAGACCGAAUAAAUCACUAUAUUAAGCACUAUAUUAAGCACAGAGAAAGGGAAGGAAGGAAAUGGAAGGAUGGUGAUCCUUCUGACGAGAGAAGGACAUCGUGAUGGUACCUGGAAUAUCCGAUCAGUUAUUCCCUCAGUUCGGAUAUACAGUGGCUCGCAUCAAUACCAAAUAAACAUUAUGCAACGAGAUCAAGAACGAAUAAAUCACUAUAUUAAGCACUAUAUUAAGCACAGAGAAAGGGAAGGAAGGAAAUGGAAGGAUGGUGAUCCUUCAGACGAGGGAAGGACAUCGUGAUGGUACCUGGAAUAUCCGAUCAGUUAUUCCCUCAGUUCGGAUAUACAGUGGCUUCCAUCAAUACCAAAUAAACAUUAUGCAACGAGAUCAAGACCGAAUAAAUCACUAUAUUAAGCACUAUAUUAAGCACAGAGAAAGGGAAGGAAGGAAAUGGAAGGAUGGUGAUCCUUCAGACGAAGGAAGGACAUCGUGAUGGUACCUGGAAUAUCCGAUCAGUUAUUCCCUCAGUUCGCAUAUACAGUGGCUUCCAUCAAUACCAAAUAAACAUUAUGCAACGAGAUCAAGACCGAAUAAAUCACUAUAUUAAGCACUAUAUUAAGCACAGAGAAAGGGAAGGAAGGAAAUGGAAGGAUGGUGAUCCUUCAGACGAAGGAAGGACAUCGUGAUGGUACCUGGAAUAUCCGAUCAGUUAUUCCCUCAGUUCGGAUAUACAGUGGCUCGCAUCAAUACCAAAUAAACAUUAUGCAACGAGAUCAAGACCGAAUAAAUCACUAUAUUAAGCACUAUAUUAAGCACUAUAUUAAGCACUAUAUUAAGCACUAUAUUAAGCACAGAGAAAGGGAAGGAAGGAAAUGGAAGGAUGGUGAUCCUUCAGACGAGGGAAGGACAUCGUGAUGGUACCUGGAAUAUCCGAUCAGUUAUUCCCUCAGUUCGGAUAUACAGUGGCUCGCAUCAAUACCAAAUAAACAUUAUGCAACGAAAUCAAGACCGAAUAAAUCACUAUAUUAAGCACUAUAUUAAGCACUAUAUUAAGCACUAUAUUAAGCACAGAGAAAGGGAAGGAAGGAAAUGGAAGGAUGGUGAUCCUUCAGACGAAGGAAGGACAA